rfam:Triticum urartu cultivar G1812 contig80538, whole genome shotgun sequence.
GGGUGCUCAGGAUCUUUCUGUCCUGAGCCUUGGGUAAGGGACAGAUAGAGAAAAGCCCCACUUGAGUUGUAAUCAAAGUGAGGCUGCCCUUACGACCGGAAACGUAAAGGUAGCCUUUUACCUGCUGAAAAGCAAUGGAGAAGGAGGCCAAAGAUG